rnacentral:rRNA from 1 species
AGUGAACGCUGGCGGCGUGCCUAAUACAUGCAAGUCGAACGGAGUGGCGCACGGGUGAGUAAUAUAUAGCUAAUCUGCCCCUUGCUGGAGGACAACAGUUAGAAAUGCCUGCUAAUACUCCAUAGCAAGGGAUGAGACUAUAUCGUAUCAGCUAGUCGGUGGGGUAACGGCCUACCGAGGCUAUGACGCGGAACUGGUCUGAGAGGAUGAGCAGUCACCUUGUAACUGAGACACGGUCAAAACUCCUACGGGAGGCAGCAGUAGGGUAUAGUGCGCAAUGGGGGAGACCCUGACGAAGCAACGCCGCGUGGAGGAUGACACUUUUCGGAGCGUAAACUCCUUUGGUUAGGGAAGCGGUAUCUAACCAGAAAGCCACGGCUAACUACGUGCCAGCAGCCGCGGUAAUAC